UACGUAGGGGGCAAGCGUUGUCCGGAAUCAUUGGGCGUAAAGCGCGCGUAGGCGGCCCGGUAAGUCCGCUGUGAAAGUCAAAGGCUCAACCUUUGAAUGUCAGCGGAUACUGCCGGGCUAGAGUCCGGAAGAGGCGAGUGGAACUCCUGGUGUAGCGGUGGAAUGCGUAGAGAUCGGGAAGAACAUCAGUGGCGAAGGCGGCCUGCUGGGCUGUUGCUGACGCUGAGGCGCGACAGCGUGGGGAGCAAACAGG
rnacentral:rRNA from 1 species